rnacentral:rRNA from 1 species
AUUGAACGCUGGCGGCAUGCCUUACACAUGCAAGUCGAACGGCAGCACGGGGCAACCUGGUGGCGAGUGGCGAACGGGUGAGUAAUGCAUCGGAGCGUACCUUUCAGUGGGGGAUAACGUAGCGAAAGUUACGCUAAUACCGCAUAUUCUGUGAGCAGGAAAGCAGGGGAUCGCAAGACCUUGCGCUGAUUGAGCGGCCGAUGUCAGAUUAGCUAGUUGGUGAGGUAAAGGCUCACCAAGGCGACGAUCUGUAGCGGGUCUGAGAGGAUGAUCCGCCACACUGGAACUGAGACACGGUCCAGACUCCUACGGGAGGCAGCAGUGGGGAAUUUUGGACAAUGGGGGCAACCCUGAUUCAGCCAUGCCGCGUGAGUGAAGAAGGCCUUCGGGUUGUAAAGCUCUUUCGGCCGGGAAGAAAUCGCACGGGCUAAUACCCUGUGUGGAUGACGGUACCGGAAUAAGAAGCACCGGCUAACUACGUGCCAGCCGCCGCAGUAAAAC